GACGAACGCUGGCGGCGUGCUUAACACAUGCAAGUCGAACGGAAAGGCCCUGCUUUUGUGGGGUGCCCGAGUGGCGAACGGGUGAGUAACACGUGAGUAACCUGCCCUUGACUUUGGGAUAACUUCAGGAAACUGGGGCUAAUACCGGAUAGGUGCUCCUGCGGCAUGGUGGGGGUUGGAAAGUUUCGGCGGUUGGGGAUGGACUCGCGGCUUAUCAGCUUGUUGGUGGGGUAGUGGCUUACCAAGGCUUUGAGGGGUAGCCGGCCUGAGAGGGUGACCGGCCACAUUGGGAUGGGGAUACGGCCCGGACUCCUCCGGGAGGCAGCGGUGGGGAAUAUUGCACAAUGGGCGGAAGCCUGAUGCAGCACCGCCGCGUGGGGGAUGACGGCCUUCGGUUUGUAAACCGCUUUCGCCUGUGACGAAGCGUGAGUGACGGUAAUGGGUAAAGAAGCACCGGCUAACUACGUG
rnacentral:rRNA from 1 species